rnacentral:rRNA from 1 species
UACGUAGGGCGCAAGCGUUAUCCGGAAUUAUUGGGCGUAAAGAGCUCGUAGGCGGUUUGUCGCGUCUGCUGUGAAAUCCCGAGGCUCAACCUCGGGCCUGCAGUGGGUACGGGCAGACUAGAGUGCGGUAGGGGAGAUUGGAAUUCCUGGUGUAGCGGUGGAAUGCGCAGAUAUCAGGAGGAACACCGAUGGCGAAGGCAGAUCUCUGGGCCGUAACUGACGCUGAGGAGCGAAAGGGUGGGGAGCAAACAGGCUUAGAUACCCUGGUAGUCCACCCCGUAAACGUUGGGAACUAGUUGUGGGGUCCAUUCCACGGAUUCCGUGACGCAGCUAACGCAUUAAGUUCCCCGCCUGGGGAGUACGGCCGCAAGAUUAAA